CACGUACUGUGCAAACGUUAAUCGGAAUUACUGGGCGUAAAGCGCGCGUAGGUGGCUUGAUAAGCCGGUUGUGAAAGCCCCGGGCUCAACCUGGGAACGGCAUCCGGAACUGUCAGGCUAGAGUGCAGGAGAGGAAGGUAGAAUUCCCGGUGUAGCGGUGAAAUGCGUAGAGAUCGGGAGGAAUACCAGUGGCGAAGGCGGCCUUCUGGACUGACACUGACACUGAGGUGCGAAAGCGUGGGUAGCGAACAGG
rnacentral:misc_RNA from 1 species